GAUGAAGAACGUAUCGAAAUGCGAUAAGUAGUGUGAAUUGCAGAAUUCAGUGAAUCAUCGAAUCUUUUAACGCACAUUGCGCCCCUUGGUAUUCCAUGGGGCAUGCCUGUUCGAGCGUCAUUUGUACCUUCAAGCUUUGCUUGGUGUUGGGUGUUUGUCUCGCCUUUGCGUGUAGACUCGCCUUAAAAUAAUUGGCAGCCGGCGUAUUGAUUUCGGAGCGCAGUACAUCUCGCGCUUUGCACUCAUAACGACAGCGUCCAAAAGUACAUUUUACACUCUUGACCUCGGAUCAGGUAGGGAUACCCGCUGAACUUAAGCAUAUCAAUAAGCGGAGGA
rnacentral:misc_RNA from 1 species